rnacentral:rRNA from 1 species
GUUGCUUCGGCGUGGCCACGGCCCGCCGAAGACUAACAUUUGAACACUGUCUGAAGUUUGCAGUCUGAGUUUUUAGUUAAACAAUAAUUAAAACUUUCAACAACGGAUCUCUUGGUUCCGGCAUCGAUGAAGAACGCAGCGAAAUGCGAUAAUUAAUGUGAAUUGCAGAAUUCAGUGAAUCAUCGAGUCUUUGAACGCACAUUGCGCCCCCUGGUAUUCCGGGGGGCAUGCCUGUCCGAGCGUCAUUGCUGCCCUCAAGCACGGCUUGUGUGUUGGGCUUCCGUCCCUGGUAACGGGGACGGGCCCAAAAGGCAGUGGCGGCACCAUGUCUGGUCCUCGAGCGUAUGGGGCUUUGUCACCCGCUCCCGUAGGUCCAGCUGGCAGCUAGCCUCGCAACCAAUCUUUUUAACCAGGUUGACCUCGGAUCAGGUAGGGAUACCCGCUGAACUUAAGCAUAUCAAUAAGCGGAGGAAAAGAAACCAACAGGGAUUGCCUCAGUAACGGCGAGUGAAGCGGCAAGAGCUCAAAUUUGAAAUCUGGCCCCUCCGGGGUCCGAGUUGUAAUUUGUAGAGGAUGCUUCGGGUGCGGCCCCCGUCUAAGUGCUCUGGAACGGGCCAUCGGAGAGGGUGAGAAUCCCGUCUGGGACGGGGUGUCCGCGUCCAUGUGAAGCUCCUUCGACGAGUCGAGUUGUUUGGGAAUGCAGCUCUAAAUGGGUGGUAAAUUUCAUCUAAAGCUAAAUACUGGCCGGAGACCGAUAG